rnacentral:rRNA from 1 species
CACACGACUCUCGGCAACGGAUAUCUCGGCUCUCGCAUCGAUGAAGAACGUAGCGAAAUGCGAUACCUGGUGUGAAUUGCAGAAUCCCGCGAACCAUCGAGUCUUUGAACGCAAGUUGCGCCCGAGGCCAUUCGGCCGAGGGCACGCCUGCCUGGGCGUCACAC